GGAGAGUGACGGCCUGCUCCCUGCUCCCAUUCCUCCCUCGCAGGAACCCUAGCCGCCGCCCUCUCGCACUCUCAACCCCACUUGCCGACGGCGCCGUCUCCUUCUCCCCGUUGUCUGAGCCAGGACCUCCGUUCCUCUUUCGUUGCCGGCCUCGCCACUGCCACUGCUCACCGUCGCCAUCGCCAUCCCCGGGAGGAGUGCCAGGGCAUCGCUCCCCCGUGUCUAGGGUUUCGGCCUCCGCGUCUCCUCCAGCACCGGCGACCCUCCCCGUGGCUCCGUCGCCAUCAAGGCUCCUCCGACGCCAUCAAGAGUGAGGAGGACGAGGCCCAGCCAUCUCGAGCCCCGCCCCCUCCCCUGCACGCCGUCUGUAUACGAAGACAUAGCAACGGAGGCAGAUGCCGCCGGCUCGACUAUCGAGCGGCGAGGGCUGCACAACAGGAGAAGAAGCCAAGAUGAGGAAAGAGAGCAUGGGCUGCACAUUCGGAUGAAAGUGUCGAACCAUCUGUGGUGUCAUGAGAUUGACGUCGUCUUGGCCGCCGGCGUGCUGCCGAAGGAGAGAUGCAUUAGGGUUUGUUCUCGUGAUUGCUGGUUGGUAGUGCUCUUCUGCCUGCAGUGAAUAGGUUGUUGCUCUCGAGGAUUGGUCGACCUCGUUGCUUCGUUGCACAUGUGCUUGUCUUUUUCGGCUUCUACUAUUUUGGGAUUACAUCCUAUCUGGCUUCUACUGUUUUGGCAUCAUGUGUGUUCAUGCUUGUUUCUUCAGUGAUAUGUUUAUUUUGGCAUUAUGUGUUCAUGUUGUUUGUUGAAGGAUCUCCAUCUUAGGUGUGGAUCUGUAUAUAUUAUGGCAUCAAUGGUCUAUUUUGGCGUUGUUGAUUCAUCACAGAUUUCAGCGGGGGUGUAUUGACGGCAAUUUCAAGCUGAUCGGGUUGGCGCUGUCAUGGGUGACGUUGCCAACUGGAGUAACUACAGUAGACUCUCUAUAUCUAGCUGUUCAAUUCACCACUGAAUGACCGAAGCGGCUUCAGCCUAAAGUUUUAUCAGGAAAGGAUCUCACCGUCAAAGACUUCAAUGAGGAGGAGAUCGACGCUCCAGCUCCGUGCUUCUCUGUCCUGACCACAACAAGUUAUGCAUGCUUACCUUUUAUCUACCCAGGUCGAUUAGAACAAGGCAUAAUUGUUUAUGCCAGAUGUGCAUGCUCAAAGAUUUUGGUCGGCAACUUAUAGUGUGUAUCAAAGAAUUCUGAAGAAAAAGGUUCUUGCGGUUGUUGUUCCCACGACUGCCGUUCGCGUUUGUACAAGAAGCUUGAGGCGACACAGAGGUCAAAUAGGCGGCAUUUCAGUAUAGCUUGAUUGUGCAUAUUCUCCUUGACUGAAGAUUACUGAUAGAACAGAGUGAACGAAUACUAAUGCUUCGUUGAGAAACAACAGACGCUGGAUCAUUGCCUGAAGACAGUCAUCAUGCACCAAGGCAGUUCCUACCGGGUUACUAUUAAUAGGUGUUGCCUUCCUCAUGUGUCUUUGAGAAAUCCUAAUGCUUGAUCAGUGGUCUCAGUGUUUCCUUUUGUAUCUGUUUGUCGUCACUCUACCUCUUAUCUCUUUUUGUACCACCUUCAUUGCAGUUACGGAUACAAUGUUUGGUUGCUUAAUAGCUAAUAAAAUUGUCAGACAUAUGGUUGGGCUGCUC